rnacentral:rRNA from 1 species
UCAUUACAAAAGAGUGAAAACUCCAACCCGUGUGAACCAUACCGACGUUUGUGCUGUCCUGUUGCUUUCGGCCGGCGGCUCUUUGGAGCCCGCAAGGUCCUUGGCGCUUCGGCGCGAGGGGCACCGGCCGGGGGUGGCAGCUCGGCAGUUUGUUUUAAACGCUUGCCUGAUAUUGUGGCUCGUCUGAGCAAAAAGAAAAGACAAAAUAGUCAAAACUUUCAACAACGGAUCUCUUGGUUCUGGCAUCGAUGAAGAACGCAGCGAAACGCGAUAAGUAAUGUGAAUUGCAGAAUUUAGUGAAUCAUCAAAUCUUUGAACGCACAUUGCGCCUGCCAGUAUUCUGGCAGGCAUGCCUGUCCGAGCGUCAUUUCCACCCUCAGGCGCCUAGUGCGCCUGCUGUUGGGGCAUUCUGCGGCCUAGCCGCAGGCCUCGAAAGCAAGUGGCGGGCUGGCUAGUCGGCUCCGAGCGCAGUAAUUUUUCUUCGCUUUGGACGCCCUGGCCUGCGCCUUGCCGUAAAAGCCUUAAUUUUUUUUAGGUUGA